rnacentral:rRNA from 1 species
AUACAAAACCAAUGCCCUUCGGGGCUCCUUGGUGAUUCAUGAUAACUUUUCAGAUCGCAUGGCUUUACGCCGGCGACGGUUCAUUCAAAUUUCUGCCCUAUCAACUUUCGAUGGUAAGGUAUUGGCUUACCAUGGUUUCAACGGGUAACGGGGAAUUAGGGUUCGAUUCCGGAGAGGGAGCCUGAGAAACGGCUACCACAUCCAAGGAAGGCAGCAGGCGCGCAAAUUACCCAAUUCCGAUACGGAGAGGUAGUGACAAUAAAUACUGAUACAGGGCUCUUUUGGGUCUUGUAAUUGGAAUGAGUACAAUUUAAACCUCUUAACGAGGAACAAUUGGAGGGCAAGUCUGGUGCCAGCAGCCGCGGUAAUUCCAGCUCCAAUAGCGUAUAUUAAAGUUGUUGCAGUUAAAAAGCUCGUAGUUGAACCUUUGGCCUGGCUGGCAGGUCCGCCUCACCGCGUGCACUUGUCCGGCCGGGCCUUUUCUUCUGGAGAACCGCAUGCCCUUCACUGGGUGUGU